rnacentral:rRNA from 1 species
AUGAAGAGGAAGAUCAUCCACAUGUGCGACCCACUGGCCGAUGCUUCUUCUUACACUGCCCAAAAAGCCAGCCACCUAAUUAUUGCAGAAAAGCUUCAUGAUGCCCUCUUCACCUAUUUGAACAAGUUUUCCAAGUCAUGGCAUGUUGACGCAGCUAAUUGGAAGAAAAACUUCCAGUUCCUUUCGGCCACAUUGUUUGACCGCAACAAGAGUGGCGUCUGUAUGAUUCACAUGGCUCAUUACUUCAACGUCAUCGGUCUUGCUACAAAGCUUGACAAUGAAACACUUGGUCAUCAGAAGAAACUCAUGGCGGCCGAGUUACUCCAGUUAGAUGGCAACCUCGCCAUCCUCCCAGCAACGUUGACAAAAAUCUUACAUGGCUAG